GUGCAAUGAUUGAAUAGCAUGUAUGUGUACAUUUAUUUUGCAAUGCUCACGUACGCGACUUGUCCGGUCAGCAUGUUUUAAGGCACUGCAAUGCAACACACGUGCCAAUAUCCUCCAAACACCGGCUUCUCGGGCAUUAUCACUUAAAUAUACAUUCUACAGACCCUACUGAGUAUUCCCUAGAAUCAUUUUUACUUCGGCACUUACAAUUGGCUUUAAAAGCAAACUAUUCUAUUUCACAUACAGUGAUUUGCACUGGGGGCAUUUAUUUGACCUUGGAACAUGUUUUAAAACCCAUAUGUUGCAAAUGUCACUUAAAUAUGAAAAAUAGCACAAUUAUUUUUUUCAUGUCAUGAAUUAAAAAGGUUAUUUACGCGUUUGUUAUUAUGUUGAACUUUUAUUUAGAACUUUUUUCGUGUUACGCUGAUCGUAAAGUGAAAGUAAAAUUAGUCCAGGGCCUACACUACUGCGAUCAAGGCUGCGGUCAGUUCAUCUCGAUACUUCAAAACUCCUAAGAACUUUACAAAUCCAGUGUGUGGGUCUUCCAGUGAGUUGGAGAGGAAUGAGGAACUAUGGCACAGUUUGAAACCUUGAUAUGGACUAGAACUAUUAUUUUGGUGCUUGGAAGCAUUGGAUCCUGUAUUGCAUGUGGUAGAGCUGAGCACAGAAUAGAGGAUGAAUGUUGUCUCAUGUGUUCACCAGGAAAUCAUGUACAUAAGCAUUGUACUGAAUUCACCACUACCUCCUGUGUGUCCUGUGCCGACUCUAUUUUCAUUGCUGGUCUCAUUAAAUGUGCACCAUGUUCCAGCUGUGAUUCAGGUUUGGUUGUGUGGGUAAAACAGCCAUGCAACCCACAAUCAGAUGAUUUUUGUGAGCCACUGGAGGGGUUCUUCUGUCUGUUCUCAAACAAAAAUGGUUGUGAAAUAGCCCAGAAACACAGAAGCUGUAAACCUGGUCAAUACAUCCAUCAGAGAGGAACAACAUCUUCAGAUACUGUGUGUUCUGACUGUACUGGUGAUACCUAUUCAGAUGGAUCAUUUACAUCCUGCCAGACAUACACACAAUGUGAAUCCUUGGGACUUCAGGAAAUUACACCAGGAUCUCCUUGGUGGGAUUCAGAGUGUGGACCACAACUAUCCCAUUCCACAGCUAGAAGCAGAAUUAGUGCUGUGGCAUCCAUGAUAGUUGUCAUGAUAUUAGCUGGAGCUGUUUUCUAAUUAAUAAUACU